rnacentral:misc_RNA from 1 species
AACUGUGAUAACUGAUGUGAAUUGCAGAACACUGUGAAUCAUCGAAAUUUUGAACGCACUGCGCCAUCUGGUUUUCCAGAAGGCACGUCUGUCUGAGUGUUGGUUUCUUAUUAUUUCAUUUCCUUCAAAAAGGGGGAAAUUGAAGAAAUUGAGGCGUCAGAAGCAUUUCUGACCCUUGGAAAACAGUUGACAGCUUUUCUCAAGCAAUUUGAAGCAGCUAGAUUCUAGCAAGCACUUCUGUAGCUCUGAAAAGCUGUGCAUCCCAUUUUAAAUUGCAUGUAACUUUCAACCUCAGAUCAGACGAGAUCACCCGCUGAACUUAAGC